rnacentral:piRNA from 1 species
UUGCUCUGUAGAACAGGCUGGCCUCA